UACGUAGGGUGCAAGCGUUGUCCGGAAUUAUUGGGCGUAAAGAGCUCGUAGGCGGUCUGUCACGUCGGCUGUGAAAACCCGAGGCUCAACCUCGGGCCUGCAGUCGAUACGGGCAAACUAGAGUACUGCAGGGGAGACUGGAAUUCCUGGUGUAGCGGUGAAAUGCGCAGAUAUCAGGAGGAACACCGGUGGCGAAGGCGGGUCUCUGGAACGCAACUGACGCUGAGACGCGAAAGCGUGGGGAGCAAACAGG
rnacentral:rRNA from 1 species